UCCCUGGUGGUCUAGUGGUUAAGACUCCACACUUUCACUGUAGGGGGCACAGGGUUGCAUCCCUAGUCAGGGAA
rnacentral:tRNA from 1 species